GGGGGCAACCUUAUGAAUCAAGCUGUGCGCGGACGAUGUAAAUAUACUUCUACAGAGGCGGGAGGCAGAAGGUGCAGGGGAAGCGGUGCACUGCUGCGUGGUUUGGAUGGCCGACGCCUGAACUGGUGGUUGGCUGGUUGAGGUUCAUGCGGAACCACUGUGUUUGUGGUUUUCUGGACGGGUUUGCUCUUUUACUCUGAAUCCAGAUGUGAGUUGACACUUUCAUGUGUUAUGUGUUCUCUGCUUCUUUGGUGGCUAGGGAAACAUCAAACAUGACUUCGGCUGUACUGACAGACAGUGAGAGGUGACGUUAGUUCAGUGAUCAACUUUUUUUUAGUUUCAGCAUAUGAUUUUUUGGCCAAAUACUGUCAACAGACUACUGUUCUGCUCGCCAAGUGCUGGCAACACAAGAACAAAUCCAAGAAAUUUGCUACUCGAGCUGUAACUACUCAAGCAUU